rnacentral:rRNA from 1 species
UACAGAGGGUGCAAGCGUUGUUCGGAAUCAUUGGGCGUAAAGGGCGCGUAGGCGGCCGGACAAGUGGAAGGUGAAAUCCCCGAGCUCAACUCGGGAACUGCCCUCCAAACUGUUUGGCUUGAGUCCGGGAGAGGUGAGUGGAAUUCCCAGUGUAGCGGUGAAAUGCGUAGAUAUUGGGAGGAACACCAGUGGCGAAGGCGGCUCACUGGACCGGAACUGACGCUGAGACGCGAAAGCGUGGGGAGCGAACAGG